UAUAAUGUGACAAUAUUGUAGAGAUUUACUUCUCUAAGGUUCAUUUGCCCUUCUUCUGGCAAUGGUCCUGAUAUUUCCCUUCCCAGCUUUAGCUCACACUAGCCUUAGAGGAUGAAAUAUGUGACCAGGUCUAAAGUCAAGCGGUGUUUCACGUUCCCAUGACCACAAUUACUGAUUCAGUGGUUGGUACAAUCAGAACAAAUAUCAGGACUUACUGGAAAUACUGAAACAAAGACUAAUCUCUCCUUCCUUUGACAGGGUAGGUGGGACUAGAACUAAAGCAGGCAUCUUGAAAUCAUGAGGACAAGGAAGCACUAUGGAAGCUCAGAACCAGGAGAGCCCAUUGAUGCCUGCACUAGAAGAUAAAGCAGAGCGGUUUAGAAUGAAGGUGACGGAGAAGAGCCAAGUGAAGAGCAAUGCCUACAGUCUCACCUCAAACCUACUGAAUCAGAGCUUCAAGGCCAAGGUCAGAAUAUCUGCAUUUUUGUUGUUGUUGCAUCUUCACUGGUGAAUUUAAUUAUGUGCACCAAUGACCCAGAAACUAAUGUGCCUGGGGCAUCAUACUUGCUCAAUAAAUAUUUUUACUUGAGUGAAAAACUCUAGAUA
rnacentral:lncRNA from 1 species